rnacentral:piRNA from 1 species
UGGAUUUGUAGUAAUUUGAUUGGUGAGCC